UAGCAUAUCAAUAAGCGGAGGACAAGAAACCAACAGGGAUUGCCUUAGUAACGGCGAGUGAAGCGGCAAAAGCUCAGAUUUGAAAUCUGGCGUCAUUUUGGCGUCCGAGUUGUAAUCUGUAGAGGAGUAUUCGAGUGUAGCUUUGGCUUAAGUUCCUUGGAACAGGGCGUCAUAGAGGGUGAGAACCCCGUUAACGGCCUCAGUCUUAUGCUCAUGUGAAUCUCCUUCAACGAGUCGAGUUGUUUGGGAAUGCAGCUCUAAAUGGGUGGUAAAUUCCAUCUAAAGCUAAAUACUGGCAAGAGACCGAUAGCGCACAAGUAGAGUGAUCGAAAGAUGAAAAGAACUCUGAACAGAGAGUUAAAUAGUACGUGAAAUUGUUGAAAGGGAAGCACUUGCGACCAGACGCACUUGCAGCCGAUCAACCUCCAUUCUUGGUGGUGCACUCGGUUGUAGGUGGGUCAGCAUCAGUUACGGCGGUAGGAAAAAGACCUUGGGAAUGUGGCUCUCUUUCGAGAGAGUGUUAUAGCCCUUGGUGUAAUGCUGCCAGCUGUGACUGAGGCCCGCGCUUCGGCGAGGAUGCUGACAUAAUGGUCGUAAGUGACCCGUCUUGAAACACGGACCAAGGAGUCUAACAUCUAUGCGAGUGUUUGGGUGUAGAAACCCUUACGCGUAAUGAAAGUAAAUGGAGGUGGGAACCGCAAGGUGCACCAUCGACCGAUCCUGAUGUUUUCGGAUGGAUUUGAGUAGGAGCAUAGCUGUUGGGACCCGAAAGAUGGUGAACUAUGCCUGAAUAGGGUGAAGCCAGAGGAAACUCUGGUGGAGGCUCGCAGCGGUUCUGACGUGCAAAUCGAUCGUCAAAUUUGGGUAUAGGGGCGAAAGACUAAUCGAAC
rnacentral:rRNA from 1 species